CAAAGAGUUUUUAACAGGGCAAUAAGUGGCCUUAUUAGUGAUAUGCUUUAAACAUUUUUGCACAGGCAUCUGCACUGAUUGGUUUUCCUUUUCUUCUUCUCUGCAGACAUUUGGCGCCGAUGACGUGGUCUGCACCAGAAUUUAUGUCCGAGAGUGAAGGCAGCUGGCUUGCUCCUACUUUCAGGAAGGGAUGCAGGCUCCCCUGAGGAAUAUGUCAUAGUUCUGAGCUGCCGGUGGACCGCCCUUUUCCCCUACCAAUAUUAGGUGAUCCUGUUUUCCCAUGACUAUGUUGUAGUGUCCCCACCCCCCCCCGCCAAGACCUUGGUGCCUCUUGUAUCCCUAGUGCUCCAUAGUUUGGCAUUUGCACGGUUUCAAAGUCAUUAAACUGGUUAGACGUGUC
rnacentral:sRNA from 1 species